GGUAAGGUGACCGAAUGCUAGGUGGUAGGCUGUAGUCCUAUUUAUAGGGGCUCAAUUCCCUUCCUUAUC
rnacentral:tRNA from 1 species